rnacentral:rRNA from 1 species
AUUGAACGCUGGCGGCAGGCCUAACACAUGCAAGUCGAGCGGAGAGGAGGACGGGUGAGUAAUGCCUAGGAAUCUGCCUGGUAGUGGGGGAGAACGUCCGGAAACGGGCGCUAAUACCGCAUACUAUCAGAUGAGCCUAGGUCGGAUUAGCUAGUUGGUGGGGUAAAGGCAUACCAAGGCGACGAGCCGUAACUGGUCUGAGAGGCUGAUCAGUCACACUUGAACUGAGACACGGUCCAGACUCCUACGGUAGGCAGCAGUGGGUAAUAUUGGACAAUGGGCGAAAGCCUGAUCCAGCCAUGCCGCGUGUGUGAAGAAGGUCUUCGGAUUGUAAAGCACUUUAAGUUGGGAGGCGUUACCAACAGAAGAAGCACCGGCUAACUUCGUGCCAGCAGCCGCGGUAAUUC